GUAAGGUCCGAGCGUUGUCCGGAAUCAUUGGGCGUAAAGGGUACGUAGGCGGGUAAGCAAGUUAGAAGUGAAAUCCUAUAGCUCAACUAUAGUAAGCUUUUAAAACUGCUCAUCUUGAGGUAUGGAAGGGAAAGUGGAAUUCCUAGUGUAGCGGUGAAAUGCGCAGAUAUUAGGAGGAAUACCGGUGGCGAAGGCGACUUUCUGGCCAUAACCUGACGCUGAGGUACGAAAGCGUGGGUAGCAAACAGGAUUAGAUACCCUGGUAGUCCACGCCGUAAACGAUGAGUGUUAGGUGUCUGGAGUAAAUCUGGGUGCCGCAGCUAACGCAUUAAACACUCCGCCUGGGGAGUACGCGCGCAAGCGUGAAACUCAAAGGAAUUGACGGGGACCCGCACAAGCAGCGGAGCAUGUGGUUUAAUUCGACGCAACGCGAAGAACCUUACCAAGUCUUGACAUAUUACGGCGGAACUUAGAGAUAAGUUCUUAUGACUUCGGUCAACUGUAAUACAGGUGGUGCAUGGUUGUCGUCAGCUCGUGUCGUGAGAUGUUGGGUUAAGUCCCAUAACGAGCGCAACCCCUAUUGUUAGUUACCAUCAUUAAGUUGGGGACUCUAACGAUACUGCCGGUGACAAACCGGAGGAAGGUGGGGACGACGUCAAAUCAUCAUGCCCUUUAUGACUUGGGCUACACACGUGCUACAAUGGCAGGUACACAGAGCAGCUAAACAGUGAUGUCUUGCGAAUCUCAAAAAGCCUGUCCCAGUUCGGAUUGUACUCUGCAACUCGAGUACAUGAAGUUGGAGUUGCUAGUAAUCGUGAAUCAGAAUGUCGCGGUGAAUGCGUUCCCGGGUCUUGUACACACCGCCCGUCACACCAUGGAAGUUGGCAAUACCCGAAGCCUGUGAGCGAACCCUUGUGGGCGCAGCAGUCGAAGGUA
rnacentral:rRNA from 1 species